rnacentral:lncRNA from 1 species
AGCAAUCCGCUCCGGUCCGCUUUUGCGCUGUGGUAGCCUUGUUCUUUCGCUCUUUGCACUAACUCUUGCUACUGCUCACUUUUUGGGUCCACACUGCCUUUAUGAGCUGUAACACUCUCUGCGAAGGUCUGCAGCUUCAUUCCUGAAGCCAGCGAGACCGCGAGCCCACCGGGAGGAACGAACAACUCCAGACGCGCUGCCUUAAGAGCUGUUAACACUCACAGCGAAGGUCUGCAGCUUCACUCCUGAGCCAGCGAGACCACGGGCCCACCGGGAGGAAGGAACAACUCCAGACGCGCUGCCUUAAGAGCUGUAACACUCACCGGGAAGGUCUGCAGCUUCACUCCUGAGCCGGCAAGACCACGAACCCACCAGAAGAAAGAAACUCCGAACACAUCUGAACAUCAGAAGGAACAAACUCCAGACACGCCAACUGCAACACUCACCGCGAGGGUCCGCGGCUUCAUUCUUAAAGUCAGUGAG